GGAAGCGUGGCCGAGUGGUUGAAGGCACUGGACUUGAUAACCGGCGACGGGUAACUGUCCGUGAUUUCAAAUCUCAGCGCCUCCACCA
rnacentral:tRNA from 1 species